rnacentral:rRNA from 1 species
GUGAACGCUGGCGGUAGGCCUAACACCUGCAAGUCGAACGGCAGCACAGUAAGAGCUUGCUCUUACGGGUGGCGAGUGGCGGACGGGUGAGGAAUACAUCGGAAUCUACUUUUUCGUGGGGGAUAACGUAGGGAAACUUACGCUAAUACCGCAUACGACCUACGGGUGAAAGCAGGGGAUCUUCGGACCUUGCGCGAUUGAAUGGGCCGAUGUCGGAUUAGCUAGUUGGCGGGGUAAAGGCCCACCAAGGCGACGAUCCGUAGCUGGUCUGAGAGGAUGAUCAGCCACACUGGAACUGAGACACGGUCCAGACUCCUACGGGAGGCAGCAGUGGGGAAUAUUGGACAAUGGGCGCAAGCCUGAUCCAGCCGUACCGCGUGGGUGAAGAAGGCCCUCGGGUUGUAAAGCCCUUUUGUUGGGAAAGAAAAGCAGCAGGUUAAUACCCCGCUGUUCUGACGGUACCCAAAGAAUAAGCACCGGCUAACUUCGU